GAAAAAGUAGUCUGUACAUCUGUACAUGUUUAGUAUAAUAUUUCAAAUAUUUUUACUCCUCAGUUGAAUCCACAGAUACAAAAGGGCUGUCUGUUCUUUGUCAAGCCUGUUGCACUAAACAUCUCUGUCAGUUUGUCACUAAACCAAGUGAUCUCAGCACUACCUUAAAAAAAUAAUAAUAAUAAAUCCACCAUUUGGGCUGGGAUUAUGGCUCAGUGGUAGAGCGCUCACCUAGCACAUGCAGAGCCCGGGUUCAAUCCUCAGCACCACAUAAAAAUAAAUAAAACAGAUGUAUCGUGUCCAACUAUAUAAAUCCAAAAGUGAAGAAUAAGAAGCAUGUUUUAAGCUAACAUGUAACUAAAUCUGAAUUUGUGUACCAUCAUUUGCUGGCCUGAAUUUAAAGGCUUCCCACCACCAAGUUAGAGAUUUGCAGGGCCGGGGGGCGGGGAUGAUAUUAAAUUUCAAGAGUUCACUCUUGAAAUGUAGACCAGGUGCCAGUGCCCCUGCAGCUGUGGCAGGGAAUGGGCAACAAAGCUGUAGCAUACAUAGAUCGUUCAAGCUGGGAGCUGCCAGCCCAGCCUGGGUUCAGCAUUUGAAAAUACCCUCAGGGCCUUGAUAAGGGGGGAAAAAAGGGCAGAAAGGCAUGUUUUUCUUCACUUAGCCAAACUUUCAGCCCUAAGUUCAAAGCUAUUUUC
rnacentral:lncRNA from 1 species